rnacentral:lncRNA from 1 species
UCAGUGGUAGCCUUAUUCCUGAAUUUUCUCCACCUUAAGAUUUCAUUGCAGCUUUCAAAACCUGACUCAGACUUUAGCUUUUCCUGGUUAUUCUAUGUUGUAGUUAAUGAAAAACUAGGAACAUAAAGAAAUCACCUCUUAAUGAAUAAAAGGCAAAAGGUGGAUUUAAAGAAUAUGGCCAAGCUCAGUUACUAUGUGAUCAUGUUCAAAUGUUAAAAAUCAAAGCUGGGGAUGCAAAGAAAGCCCAAAAGAAAAACCACAUUUAGGGGUCAGGGAUGUAGCUCAGUGGUGUGGCACCUGCCUCGAAAGCACAACGUUCUGAUCCCUGGAACUGAAACAUUUUUUUAGAAAAACCACAUUUAAUUUCUACAGGCAGAUCUAUGAGAUGGGACCUAACAUUUAAUUAAAAUAAAAAAUAUGUGGCUUCUACAUAAAGAAGAUGUCAUCUAUUAUUUUGAUUGAUCUUUCCAACAGCCUUGUGAGAUGUGGAGAAAUGCUGUCCAGAUGGGUGAAGCAACUUGAGCAAGAACUCAUGGUUAGAGUGGGAUCCAGGCUUCCUUGUCUGGCAAUGACACAGUGUUUUUGCCCUCACCUAGCUCACCACAUGUGUGCUAAGCUUGUUUCCACAUGAAAAAGGGAUACUGAAGGAGAGAAAGCAGAAAGCCCACGGUGUCAAAUUCUCAGAAGAAACCUUGAAUCAGAGAAUGCUUAUUGGCAGAGUGAGCAGACUUGAGCUCACAGGGAGAAUGCAGCCAGCAUGUAUGUUUUCCUUGAUUCAAACCAUGUUUGUUUUGAGCAGUUGCCAAGGGGAAAGGGGACAUAAAAAGAAUUAAGAUGUGCUAUGUACGUGUACCAAUUCCCCACAAUGAAUGUAAUCAGUAUGUACUGCAAACACUAAUAAAAAUUUAAAAAUAUAUAAAGAAGUUGCCAGCAUUAAAAGAUUCAUGUAAAAGUCCAGAUUACCAGCUUCUGUUGAAAAAACCUGGGCCAUUGGGCCACACUGCGUCAGACACCCAACUGCUGGGAACCGUGUGGCUGCUGAGCUGUUAAAUGAGGCUGCGUGCUCCAGAGUCCUCAGGGGGAAGAGCUCAGCCUGUUUUCCUCACUUGCAUUAGCUGCUUGCCCAGUGGGGCAUGUGAAUUUGCUACUCCUGCCUUACAUGAAGGCAUUGAGAACUACACAAGCAUCUUCUUCACAGGCAGUUAGGUGUCUCCAUGUUCUACUUCUCCUGUGAAUUCUAAGCUCCCCAAAGGCAGCUACUGUGUCUUAAAAAACUAAUACAAAUAUUUGUUUAGUAUUUUAUGCCUCCUAAACAUGUCAUAUAGUACUCAAUAACUUAGUGAUAUAGGUCUCAUUAAAUAUACCUUUUUAAAAUUUUUUCAAUCAGAUGAGGAAACAGAAUCAGAGAAGGUAUAAUUUCCCAAAGAACAGACAGCUGUGAAGGACAGAGCUAGAAGUGGAUAUCUGCUAUUUUAGGUUGCCCAAUAUCCAUUCUCUUCUGAAAAUAGGAACUUAAUUUUCCCUUGGACAGCCUUCCUUUUCUCAAUCUGUGAGAUUUGAAUGAGGCUGAUCCCACAUGGGAAUGUGACUCAAGCCUGUCCAAUGAGAGAGUUCUGAUUGUCCCAACCUCAGUGAUUGAUUUAGAUGUGGGCAUGUGACCCACCCUGAGCCAAUCGGAGCUAAUUAGAACUCCUGUGGACCGUUUUCUUCUUAGGUUGUUAAGUUGCCCUGUGAUAACCUAGAGUUCCCAGAUAAGAUCAACCUCCCCUUUUCUGCAGACUUCCAUGGGACAAAAGGUUCUGAGGAGCCCUGCAGUUCUACAAAAGACCACCCUUACCUGGCCUCCAGAACACUACCGACACGAGGAAAAGGGCUGAAAAUUCUGCCAGCUCCUACAAAGACCGUUUUGCUUCUCUCUUUUUCACUACUCAUUGACCCACCACCAUUAUGUACCUUGAGACCACCAAAACCUAUCUCACUGUAUCUAUUAUCCCAUUUACAUCAGUCUCCCAGAAAGUGUAGGGUUCCCAAAUGAUCCCACAUUCCCCAGGAUUAAUCCUCAUCCUGUUCUCUGGGCAGCGAGGGAAACUCUUACACACAAUUCCAUACCUCUUUAUGUUCACCUCUUUCUUACUUAUUCCCCAUAAAACUUGCAUUCUGAAUACACACAGUUACUUACAUUAAAUAAAAAUUAUAGGAGGCCAUUAUUUUAGACAAUUGAUGCUUUAGUAAGCACCAACAGAGCUGACUAAAAACCCAAAUGGAGUCACCCAGGCUAACAUCUCAUGUUACCAACCCAAAACUAAGUUCUUCUCUGACCUUCUGCAAAAUCAGCAAAGAGCUCCCAGACAAUUUUGAAAACAGGCCAAUCUCAACUGACAUGAAAAUGAAAUCUCCUUUGCUUUAAUUUUAUAAACUUGAAUCCUUACAAAAAGGUGACCCAAAGUAACCUAAGUUAACCAAUCAGUUAUUUUUCUAUUGUUCUGUCUCCUUCUCCUUGGCUUGGGAGGAAAGUAACAUUGAAAUGACCCACCUGCUUUUUAUUUUAUGUCUCUGUUUAUUUCAGCCCUUCUUGUCUUAUAAAACUAAUCCCUCCUUUCAGCCCACUGUAACUCUCAUUCUGUUUUAUGGAAUGAAGCAUUGCCUGGUGCUAGAAUCACAAAAUAAAAACAAUUAAAAUACUUC